GCAGCCGCGGUAAUACGGAGGAUGCAAGCGUUAUCCGGAUUUAUUGGGUUUAAAGGGUGCGUAGGCUGUUCGGUAAGUCAGUGGUGAAAUGUUGCAGCUUAACUGCGAAGCUGCCAUUGAUACUGCCGAGCUGGAAUACGGUUGCCGUGGGAGGAAUGUGUAAUGUAGCGGUGAAAUGCAUAGAUAUUACACAGAACACCGAUUGCGAAGGCAUCUCACGAAACCGCGAUUGACGCUGAGGCACGAAAGUGCGGGGAUCAAACAGGAUUAGAUACCCC
rnacentral:rRNA from 1 species